rnacentral:rRNA from 1 species
AUGGAGGGGUCGUCGUCGGCGUCGGCGUCGGCGUCGAUGGGGGCGGCGGCGAGGGCGGCGCGGGCGGGGGCGAAGGUGUGCGGCAAGGAGGAGAAGGUGGUGGGCGUGCAGAAGGCGCCGGGGAGCUGCCCGUACUGCGGCGGCGGGGUGGUGGCCACGGACGUGGAGGCCAAGUGGGUGCUCUGCUUCCUGCCGCUCUGCCUCAAGAACAAGCGCAGGUUCGCCUGCACCGCCUGCGCCCGCCGCCUCGUCACCUACCCCGCCAUUGUCCAGGACUAG